UAAGGAAUAUUGGACAAUGGGCGCAAGCCUGAUCCAGCCAUGCCGCGUGCAGGAUUAAGGCCCUAUGGGUUGUAAACUGCUUUUAGUAGGGAAAAAACCCUCGUUCGUGAACGAGGCUGAUGGUACCUACAGAAUAAGGAUCGGCUAACUCCGUGCCAGCAGCCGCGGUAAUACGGAGGAUCCAAGCGUUAUCCGGAUUUAUUGGGUUUAAAGGGUGCGUAGGUGGAUUAAUAAGUCAGUGGUGAAAGCCUGCAGCUUAACUGUAGAACUGCCAUUGAUACUGUUAGUCUUGAAUGUAGUUGAGGUGGGCGGAAUAUGACAUGUAGCGGUGAAAUGCUUAGAUAUGUCAUAGAACACCGAUUGCGAAGGCAGCUCACUAAGCUAUAAUUGACACUGAGGC
rnacentral:rRNA from 1 species